GAUGAACGCUAGCGGCAGGCCUAACACAUGCAAGUCGAGGGGUAGAGGAAGCUUGCUUCCUUGAGACCGGCGCACGGGUGCGUAACGCGUAUGCAAUCUACCUUAUACAGGGGGAUAGCCCAGAGAAAUUUGGAUUAAUACCCCAUAGUAUUAUGCAAUCGCAUGGUUUUAUAAUUAAAGUUCCAACGGUAUAAGAUGAGCAUGCGUCCCAUUAGCUAGUUGGUGUGGUAACGGCAUACCAAGGCAAUGAUGGGUAGGGGUCCUGAGAGGGAGAUCACCCACACUGGUACUGAGACACGGACCAGACUCCUACGGGAGGCAGCAGUGAGGAAUAUUGGGCAAUGGGCGCAAGCCUGAACCAGCCAUGCCGCGUGCAGGAUGACGGUCCUAUGGAUUGUAAACUGCUUUUGUACGGGAAGAAACACUCCUACGUGUAGGAGCUUGACGGUACCGUAAGAAUAAGGAUCGGCUAACUCCGUGCCAGCCGCCGCAGUAACAC
rnacentral:rRNA from 1 species